rnacentral:lncRNA from 1 species
AAAACCCUGCCUCGCUAGCGCAGGGAGAAGUCGCACCAGUCGGAGCGCAGAGGGACACGCAGACAUUUCAGCAGAGGCCUCAAAGGCAGAACAAAAUAGUGCAAGGAGCCGCACAUCCGCACAGUGCUGAGACCCUGCCCAGGACAAGCUUGACAAAAAAGAAGAAAAUUGGGUCUUGUUAUGUUGCCCAGGCUGGUCUCCAACUCCUGGCCUCAAGUGAUCCUCCCAGCUUGUCCUUCCAAAGUGUUGGGAUUAUAGGUGUGAGCCACUGUGCCUGGCCAUGUCUGAAUGUUGAAUGUUGACAGCUUCAGUGAAUUGACCCCUCUUUCACCUAUGGGACUUAUGAAGAGAGAAUCUUUCUGGCAUUGCAUAAUCCUUCCCAAGAGUACUUUAGCUGUGGUAACCCUUCUUGUUAUAAAACAUGCCAGGUAUGAUGAUGGAGAUCAGCUGAGCUGGACUUAGAAUCUUCUCUAAGAACAUUUACAGGCACUCAGUGUUAACAGCAGGGCAGAUGUAGGUUUCUGGGAACCUGAGGCUUAUAGGAACUGGAGUUCAUUGUAAGAAAAAGAAUAUCAAAUUAUGAAGACAAAAUUAGGCAUCAAUGUGAAUAUUAAUUUAGGAGAAAUCACAACAAAUCGCACAUCCUGAAAAGCUAACAAAUACUGCAUACAUCGCAGAAUCUAGAAGCAUAACAAUAUUUGUAUUGGUUAACUUGGACAUAUCACUAUAGUAUGCUUUUUUUCUACAUUUUGGGCUAUAUUUUUUUCCUAUUCUUUUUGGUUGAUGUCCUUGUAGUAGUGGCUACAUGUUAGUAGGCACUAACCCUAGUAGUAACUAAUCCUAGUAGUAGGGUUCAUGUUAUUGUUGUCGAUGUCUGUAUUUUGUGAUCAAAUCACCAAGACUGCAAAUCCUUCUUUCAACAUAUUCAUAUGAUUCACUCCCCUUCAUUAAAUUGGGUUAUUCAAACAAUUAUGCUCCAAAUUUAUCUCUUCCUCUUAAUCAAGUACUACUUUGGCAUGAUCUGAUUUUUAUAAUUAUUCUCUCUUCUCAUCUUUAUUAUUUAUAUUUUCUUAGCUAUUAUGAUUCUUCUUCUCAAUUUCAUGCUUUUGUCUAUCAGGCUUUUUAGCUUCUGUUGUGAUAGAACAAAAGAGUUUUUGACAUUUUGUAACUUCUUCCAGUCUUUUAUCUUUCAGUUUUUGUCUGAGACUUCUACUAGGAUGUUUUCUUCUCAACACGCUUGAUUUUUGUAUAGUUAAUAAUUUUGAAAUAAAGGCAUUCUCAAGAGCAGUUCAAAUGCACUUGAAAAUUGCUGAAAUGUAUUGAGUUGCAUAUUGCAUAAUCAAAUUACUUUUUUGCCACAUAGACUGAUCUAUUGGUGAGUAUGUGUAGGGGUUUCAUUACCCUGGAGUCCUUUUUCUUUGCUUUUUUUCCCCUUUCUUUCCAUUUCUGUGGCAAUUUGGUGAACAGUUUCAUCAGGAAGUGUGAGACUUCAUAAGGGCAAGAGGAUCAGAUAGAUACUCUAAGGGUGAUCCGUUCAGUUUGCACAAUAAAUCUGUGGAAGACAUCAUAUGUACAGUGGAAUCUUCUUUCUUUGCAGAGAAAAGUGGACAAGCAUCCAAUUUCCAAAUCAAUUCUUGGGAUAAAUUGGUAUAACUUGUUGGAAAGCAGUUUGUCAAUAUGUAUUGCAAGCCCUAAAAAUAUUUAUGUCCCCCUCAAAUACAUGCAUAUUCCUAUAGUUUGAGUAAUUUAAUUUACAUAUAUUAAUUUUAAGAAAAUGCUCCUGAAAAUGAAAAAGGUAUUAGGCACAAAGAUGGUGUUAACAAUAUAUUCCUUAAAACAUUUUUAGUUUGUUUUUUUUUUGAGACAGUCUUGCUCUGUCGCCCAGGCUGGAGUGCAGUGAUGCGAUCUCAGCUCACUGCAACCUCCACCUCCAAGGUUCAAGCAAUUCUCCU